UACAGAGGGUGCGAGCGUUGUCCGGAAUUAUUGGGCGUAAAGAGCUUGUAGGCGGUUUGUCGCGUCUGCCGUGAAAAUUCGAGGCUCAACCUCGAACUUGCGGUGGGUACGGGCAGACUAGAGUGUGGUAGGGGAGACUGGAAUUCCUGGUGUAGCGGUGGAAUGCGCAGAUAUCAGGAGGAACACCGAUGGCGAAGGCAGGUCACUGGGCCGCAACUGACGCUGAGGAGCGAAAGCAUGGGGAGCGAACAGG
rnacentral:rRNA from 1 species